AGGAAAAAGAAUUCCAAUCUUCAAUUUAUUGUUUAGCUAAUCAGAAUGACCUUAAAGCUCUUUGGCUGAACAAGACAAAAUACUACUGCUACUUCCAACAUCUCUGAUUAUUUUAAUGUUGAAAUUAUCACUUCAGUUUCUACUCUUCAUCUGAUCCCCAAGGAGAAAAAAAUGAUCCUCUCCCACACUUGAGCUCUAGUUUUUUUACUUAUGCACUGUUGUCACUGCUGAAUGCACAGUGUGUUUAGAUACUAAAAUCCUGACUGUAUCUACAGCAAAAAAUCCUUGACUUAUAUUUCUAAAGCUGUUUUUCAAGGCAUAGGAAAGAAAAACCUCUUUUGCAGUUUUGGGCAAGCAGCAUUUCUUUGAAGUUUCUGCUGUAGUGUGUGCCAUUGCAAAGAUUUUUUUUCUGCAAGAUUAACGAUAAAUUUAACCAGAGAUUAGACAGCUGCUUUCUUUGAAGUUUGUAUGAGUCAGUGAUUUAUUUGUGAAUGUCUAACAGGUAAGAAACUGAUAGGUCAAUUUUUGUCUUAUGUUGCCUGCACAACUUCUGAAGUGACCAACUAUUUAUUGAAUAAACGCUUGUCAGAAGAUACUAAGCUGAAAUGAAUCAGAAAAAUCUGCUUACAGAGUAACUGUAUACUGCUAUCACUUUCCCACAAACUUGCUUGAAGUCCAGGGAUGUAGUGGUACAUUCAUGAAAAAGAUACAUCACAUAGUCCACACACAUAGUGGUAUCAUUCUUCUAUACCCUUGUGUACUGUUAGUAUUCAAUUUGAAAUCAUGAUUAUACAUUAAGUAAAACAUACAGCUACAAAAACAAGUGAUACAAGACAGAUUUUCUUUGCAGAAGAUUUCUGGCUGCUGCAAAGCACAUCAGAUCUAGGAAGAAUUUUGGAUCUGGUUAUGGAGGAGCUUCAUGCUUGCAAAGGAGAAAUGUUCGAGACCUUAGACAUACAACUGAUUGGAAAAUACAGCAUCUCCAGCCAUUACUUCAACCUGGACUGAUGGGUCUGGGCUAAUUCAAAUACAGGGCCAAUCAACUGAAGACAAGAAAACACAGUAACAAAACAUGGAACAUUUUUACUGAAGUAUACCUCCUAUACAUGCACUUACAUAAGGCAUGUAAAUUAAACAUCUCAAUCAGCACCAAAAGUCAUGAAUAAUUAUCUGAUAUUUAAAGGUCAUUUAAAGAUAGCAGACAGCCUUUUCACAUGAUUUCUGAUGAGAUUUUGAGGUGGUAAACCACCUUGAGAACUGGAAAAAUAUUUCAAAAUCACAAGUAGGCAAGUUAUCUUCAGAAGAGGCCUUGAUUGGUAUUUAAUAACGAAAUAUGAAGCCAUAUGAAUUACAAUGAAAAGAAAUACAAUAAUGAACUUCUGUUCCUAAACACAUCAUCAGUAUGCAAUGAAUGAAUCAAGGGUCUUGAGGAAAAAAAAACAACCAUCAUUUUGAUUAGGUCAUUGAAAAUCAAGUUCAGGUAAGGGAAACUGAAUAAUAAAAUAUAUAUUUUUUCCUCUUUGACCUUUCAGCUACAUUACUGUAAUGCCUGGGAUACAUGGCUGCGAUUUAGAUUUCUAUUUUCAGUAGAGUACCUUUGUAUUGUUGCUAGCAUACAGAACUGCCUGCAACAUUUCACUUCAACAAAGCAUUAUGGGACCAUCAAUAUUCACUUUCUCAGUGCGUGCUGAAUUGACAAAUACAAAGUAUGAAGAAUAUGUUUUUGAUUAUUACAAGAUUUUUAACAUUAUUUUGCUCUUGCUUUUGCAUAUUUGCCACCAUUUUCCAUUUGCUUUCUUCCCUCAGUCAUUUGAAUGUGCUUCAAUACAAGGGUAUUCCAAAGAUAACACAAAUCAAUAGUUCAUUGACUGAAAAAAACUGAACACCUAAAUCAACGGACAGCAGGAACAACAAAAAACUACCAACUUACCUACCUACCAACAAGAACAAAAAGUACCCAGGUGUUCAUUCAGGAUUUCAAUCCUCAGAUAAAAUAUGUUCACUUUAUCGUGGAUCUAAAAAAACAAUGAAUGAUCACAAUGAGGAAUAUGACAUAUUUGAAUUAGUAAGCCACAUAAUCAAUAUAUUUGUAAGGACAGCAGAAUGAGUGAAUAAAAACAUAUCUAUGAGAGUUUCAGAUUCUACAUAUAUAUAAGAAUAUAAGAAAAAUCUAAUUUCCCUACAGAAAACUGCAUAUAAAAGUUUAUAGUGGGCACUAUUUAAGCUGGAAAAAAAAAAAUAAUAAUAAUUUUUAUAUCUCAAAUGUUUUAUUUUUAUUAUGUUACUUUUUCUACAUUUGAUCUGCAAAUCUUUGUUGUUCUGUAUAUAUUGUUGUUGUUGUUUUGUAUAUAUUUUUAAUAGUAUUUUAAUAUUGUGAUCAUGGCAAAGUUAACUUCUGCCAGAAACAUAUUUCAAAGUUCUCAAAGUCUUUCUAUAAAUUACCUAUUUCAGUUUCACUGUACAUCAUAUUUUCAUUGGCUUGGAAACAACAUGCGAACUGUAAAGAAUAUUCUAAUAUUGUACAUGGAGUUAAAAUCUGUAUUGUUGCGUUCAAGUUGUAUAUUACAGGAAUCAUUUGACUGAAAGAAAAAAAUACUUGAAAUUACAGUUUUGUUGUUUUUUUUUCAUAACGUAAUCCUUUUUUACAUAUUUAUUUAUUCACUGUCUGUGCCAAUGCACAUAUAUUAUCAGCCACAGGAAUGACUUUUAUAACACAUAUUCACACGUGUUUUCAAAUUUGUCAUUCUUAUAAGAAAGUCAAUGGCAACAAAGGAAUUAGCUAAUAAUUAACAAUGUUUUGAAAAUCUGUUCUUUGUUUACAUGUUUUCUGAAAAUCUGUGUCUGUUUACAGUCAGGCUAACAUAUUUAGAAAAUCUGCAUGCCUACAGUUACAUAACAAGCAAACUUAUAGCUCCUGUUCCUCAGGCUACAGAUGUCCCUCUGAAGUUUAAAGCAUAUGUUGACGUUAAUCAUUGUGUAUUAAUGCUAAGCCUUCCUCCUGUCAUUCAAAGCUUUGUCUCUCCACAGAGAUCUAAAGAAUAUUAUCUUAUUUGUUACUGAAAUGAUUAUAAUUAACUGUAAACCUUUCUGGACAGUUUGAAAUGAAUGAGCAAAAGAGAAAGUAUAACUAUUAUGAGCACUGCCUAAUUUUUUAAUAGUAGGGUGAG